GUCAGAGUGUCACAGUGGUUUGAGAGUUGGACUGUGACUCUGGAAGACCAAGGUUCGAGUCCCAGCUCAGCCA